GCGGCCGCAUGCCUCACAGCCGGAUGCCGCGGCGCUCUGCUCCCGCCGCCCGAGGCGGCCUCGCGUCCCGGGCCACCCCCACGGCGGCGGCGGAGGAGGAACCCAUCGAUCUGUCUUUGGCAGAUGGGAAACGACUCUCGGAUUAUAGCAUCGGGCCCAACUCCAAGCUCAACCUAGUGGUCAAACCCCUGGAGAAGGUGCUACUAGAAGAAGGCGAGGCCCAGAGGCUGGCCGACUCUCCACCCCCGCAGGUCUGGCAGCUGAUCUCCAAAGUCUUGGCCCGCCACUUCAGUGCGGCAGAUGCCAGCAGGGUCCUGGAACAGCUGCAGAGGGAUUACGAGAGGUCCCUGAGCCGCCUGACGCUGGACGACAUCGAACGGUUGGCCAGCCGCUUCCUGCACCCUGAAGUGACUGAGACAAUGGAGAAGGGCUUCUCCAAAUAGAAUUCUCGGAGCAUGGGGAGGUGCCCAACGCCAGGCUACAGCUGCAUGUCGCACUAAGUGUGUUCUCCUGUUGCAGUUGGGCUCAUCAUAAUAAUAGCUGGCAUGUACCUGGCUCUGGCCAGGUGCUGGGCACUCCUCACAGCUUGACCUGGGUUUGCUUCCGCACCCUCAGAAGAGGUGAGCCAG
rnacentral:sRNA from 1 species